CAAAUUUUAAAAUAAUAAUAAAAACGUGCACUACUCAUUUAUUUUACACUAAUAAAUUACAAAAAUCAUCCCGAAUCAUGGGUAAACAUUCAUAUAAACAUAUUUACAAUGCUGCAGCAAAACAAUUUUACAACCCUAUUUCUAAUAUUUACAUAAUUUUCAUUUAGAUCACUUUCGAUCUUUCGCAUUGGUAGUCCCCCUUGCGCAGGCGGGAUUUACCGGCGGGUGAACUGUCAUUUGAUCGAUUAGUCGAUCAAGCGAUCAGUCACCGAUGACAGGUUGUCAUACGGCAUCAAUGUGUAAAUAAACAUCUGUCAAAGCAUAUCGCCAUGAGCAAUGUUUAUGUUUCGCGUUAUUUAUGUUGUGUUGUGUGUUUUAUUCCGUUGAAAUUGGCCAAAUUUCAAUCGAAAUGAGGUAAGUAAAUAAAGAUAUCGACUAAGCAUAUCGACAUUUAUGCUUCCUGUUUUUCUUGUAGGUGUAUGUGUGUAUAAAAGUGGAUUGGAGCUCCAGUGGGUGGGUUGUUUUGCUGCCAGUGCCAAAAUCUUCCUGGGGAAGAUCUGCCUGCAGAAAACCCAUGAAAUCCCGGGAUUACCAUGCUAGCCAUCUUGUAUCCACAAGAUGCACUGCAGGCCAAUCGAUUCCUACUGGUGUGCUGGUUUGGACUGUAGCGGUGGUGGUCGGGGAGGAUUUGUACACCGAGUUCCAAGGACAAGUCUCGAUGACUCCUUGCCAACUCGUGCAUCCAUGCCCAGUUACCUGCUGUGUCAUUCACCAUUAUGGCACUAGGAUAAGUGAUUGUUAUUAUCCUAAAAAGAAAAAAUAAACAUUAUUAACUCCUUUUAGCGCCACAAGACCCUUUCUGGUCUGGGCAAAAAUAGGGAAUAGUUCUAUAAAAAAGAAAAGUUGUCAAUGUCAAACAUUUUAGUGGAUGGUAAGUAUAAGUGAGCUGCAUUUGACUUAAUUAUUACUACAUUUAUAUCACAGGUAAGUAUGUACGGUAAGUAUAGUACGGGUAGGGUGAUUAUGAUUUUUUAAAUACAAAUUUGGACGAACACGAACAAGUUAAAAUCGUUUGAACUAAUUUUGGUUUGUGUCCUCUCGUUCAGAACCUCUUUUGAUUUAACAAAUCCCUUGUAAAUUUACACUUUUCAUCGGUCUCGUAUCAAGUGUGCGGUUUUAGACAUUCGUGCUAAGCACGGAUCCCUGCCACCUCCCGUUGGAAAAUCCUUAGAUUUUCAUACUUUAAGCGAUCCUCCGAAUACCUUUCACGAUUUUACGUCGGUCGCCAAUUGUGACUAUGGCAUGACCAGACACUCCCGGGUAACUAACUCAGUAGCAUGAGACCCCUGAACUGUGUCGCAGGGCCGGCAUGUUACUGGGUAUUCGGAGGGGCUACGCGGACAAAGUAUGAAACACAGGAAUCUUCACAUUUUCUAACAUAUUUAUUUGCCCUUUUCUGUGGCGUGUGGGUGUGGGUUUUCACAUAUAUGUGGCGUGUAUGCGAGGGUUUAAAAUGUUACGGUACUCACUGUUGCAGCAGAUUCUUCUUCGGCGUCGCGACGCUGGCGUUGGCCCACACGGCUGCUCCUGCACUACCGUGUGGCCGGAAACUUGCGGCGCGGGCUGCAGACAGUGUUGUUGCCGCUUUGGGAGAAUGGCGGAUCUGGUGGCGUUCAUCAGCCACAUACGGCUCAGCAGGCGUUGCUGGCUCGUUUGGCUGGCAGGCGUCUUCCGUCGUUGACAAAAUCGGCUGACCGUGGCAUGGCCACCUUGGUCGAGCCGAGACGGGACCCUCCUUGGCAAUUAAGGCCACCGGCCUGAGGGAAUCGUCCCUGACGGACGAUCGAGGAUCAUUUACUAUUAGGCUCGGAAGCCAUCUUGACUUCCGAGCCGAGCCGUGUAAAACCGUUUUGCUUACGGUACGAGGUGUACAAAAUGUACAAAAGCACAAGAGCACAAGAGCACAA